GUUCCAAAUUCACAUGUGAAAUUUCACACAUAUGAAAUCAUGUCGAAUUUUUGUAAGGGAAUGAUAACCUGAUACAGUAUGUAAUUAUUUAAUUGAACAUGAUUUAUUUACACUUUCUAUUAUAUUAUUCCUCUUUUUGUAUAUUGUUUUAUGUUUGGUAGUAAAUUCAAGUAACAGUUGUAACUAUUAAUCAAUACAUAAUUAUCAGAUAAAUGCAAUUAAACUAAUUACUAAAUAUAUACAUUAAUAUUUAAAUAAUUUAUAUUAUGAUAUAUUGCAUUGGGCAGAUACACAGACGUACAAUUGUCCACCCGUAUUACAAAUACUGCUUCAAUAACUACAUUAAUCAGCUAUAUUAUUAUUAAUUGGCUAUGUUAUUAUGAAUUAGCCAUAUUAUUAUUAAUUAGCUAUAUUAUUAUUAAUCAGCUAUAUUAUUAUUAAUUAGCUAUAUUAUUAUUUGGAAUAAUGGGGUUGCAAAUACUUAGGGUGUAAACUAGUGCAAGAAAUUUGUUUUCUAGCCUGCGAACAGGCUCUCUUUCCCAACGAGAACAACGGCAACAAUAUAUCGGGUCCACCUAGACCACAGCAUGUUCAUUUCAAGGUAUUUGUUUUCUAUCAAACGUAAACUGUAACCAUGGUGAAGAUGAACAUAAUACGCCCUUUAGAAAAGUACUUAGCCUUGGCUACAGAGCCUAGAUAUUUUGUCUUUGGAGCCUUUUACCUUGUCUCAUGACCUAAUUAUAUAAUGGUCUUUUGGAUCAGUAUCAGUUGUAACUGUGUGGUUUCGUAAUUGUCUCACCUGCAACAAGAUGAAAUGGCUCUAAACGCAAUUGUAUGGCCACUUUCCAGAAGGGUGUAUUGGAACUUAUUCAGGUUAUAGGUUAAGAUGCUUUCAGAAAUUAUUGGAAGGGCAGCCUCCCUCCCCUUUCGCAGCGUAUAUAAACUAAAUAGGGCUAUUUAUACGAGAGAAAAUAAGUCGCGACUUAAGACUCGCCUUAUUUAAGUCACGAACACAAUCGUAUAAAAAUGGUCAAUUUGUUCGUGACCAAUGUAAGUCGCAACUAAAAUAAGAACAGGGGUUUAUGCUGGUCCAAAAUAAGUCGCGACUUAACAGAAAUUGACCAUUUAUACGAAUGUUUUCGUGUCUUAAAUAAGACGCGAAUUAGUUAAGUCGCGCGACUUAUUUUCUCUCGUAUAAAUGGCCCUAAUGUGUUUAUCUGAUUAAUUUGCUUGGAUUUUCAAAAAGUAACAAACACUGAUCAUCAUCAAAUAGUGCUUCUGACGAAAUGAACAAUACUAUACAGUGCACUUCAUCAGCGUAUACAGGGUGUCUAAAAAAAACGCUAUGGAAAUUCAACAGGCUGUCGUGCAUCAUGAACGUGGCUAAACAAUUAAAUUUUUACAUAGGACGAAAGAACAGUUAUUUAGCUUUUCAAUGAUACUC